AUGCACCGCCCAGUGCCUCACGAUGAGGCGAAUGCACAAGUGACAGACGUCCCCCGCCGCCCACUCCCCAUCCCCGCCUCGCCCGAUCCGGGGUCAGGGCCCCGACUCGCUUCUGCCCGCAAUCAGGAUGCGGCCCCCGCCGGGGCACGCGGGAGAACGUCCCGCAUUAAGUAUCCCGCAUCCCGGGGGAAGACCCGAGGCCGGACCCGCACUGUGCGUUGGCGAGCGCGCUCCACGCUGCCACCCGCGGCUGCUCCCGGGUUCUCAGCCUACCGAGGCUCCCUGCAGGCGGAUUUCAAGAUCCCCGCAGCGGAGUCCGCGCCACACCACGUGCAGCUCCCCCGCGCCCGAGUUUGCAGGCGCGGGGUCCGGUCCGCCCGGCGAGGCUGCGGAGCGCAAAGUUCCCACCUCAAGUUCCCGUCGCGGCGUCCCCGCCUUGGAGUUGGCCGGGCCGUGGCUUCGGUCCCCCGGCAGCCGGCGAGUCCGGGACGAGGACGCGGGCGGGAGCUGCAGGCGUCCGAGACGCCCGCGGGGGCCUCCAGGAGCCGAAGCCAAACUUGGGCCCCGAGGCCGGGCUCCGUUCCCGCACUCGGGCCCAGGGCCGCCCCGCCUCCGCGUCCAGGUCCCCACCGGGCUCGGAGUGCGCCGGGAGCGCGGCGCGGCACCCGCGCAGGGAGGGAGUCGGGGCGGGAGGCGGGAUCGAGGGAGGGGACUGUGCGCGGGCGGGAAGUGGGGCGGGCGGCAGCGAGCGCCGCCACACCGCGUGCCCUGGCGCUCGGCUCGGGGGCCCCAGGGCUCGGAUCGCGUGUGCCUGGGCCGCGCGAGCAAAGCCCUCAACCAUCGCCGUCCCCUGGGCCCUUCCCGUCCCGGCUGCCCUCCCCAGCCGCCCCGCACGCCGCUGCUCAUCUGUCCGCCCGCGCCGGCUUUUCAAGUCCCUGUGCGCUCCAGUCCUGGGUCUGUGCGCGGGCGCUGCCGCCUGGUGGGGUCUCGCGCUGCGUCACCUCCUUUCCCUCGGGGCGGUUUAAGUGCGAGGUUGUCCGGGGCCCGCGCACCGCUGCCCUGGGUGCCCGGUCCUUAAAGUGCCCACCAUCGCGGCUCCUGGGGGGCCACACACGCCGAGUCUUACCCUUUUCUGCGCACUCCACGGAAGGGCACCGUGGCCCUUGGUCUCUCUUGCCUCUGUGGCCCCGGGGGCUGCACGCGCCGUGCUGCGUCAACUGCUUAGGGACAGCACGAGCCGUGCCAGGUAACUUUUCUUCCAGGUCCAAGGUGUGCCUCGGUCGGGAGUCGCCUCUGUCCUGUCGUCCGCAAGCCCCGAGCCGAAGCGUCACCCGGCUCCCGCACCCGGCGCACAGGCGGCCGGCCCAGAGUGCCGCGUUGGGUUGGAAUUGGUGGGAGUGGCGCGAAGCGGGGCUGGGUGGGGGCGCUUGCCUCGAGCCUCCAGCCCUCUCGCCCUUUGUUUCACAGCCUGUUCUCACCAUCAAGAAGGGGGGGCGCAGAGCCUGCUGCUUCCUCGGUGGGAGCUGGGAGCAGGCUGUUAAGUUGGGGGCGACCACUCUUGCUGGGUUUCACGCAGAGAAAGAGGGGUAG
rnacentral:lncRNA from 1 species